GACGAACCGGUCCAAACGUUAUUCGGAAUUACUGGGCUUAAAGGGUGCGUAGCGGCCUGACAAGUUGGGUGUGAAAUACCUCGGCUCAACCGAGGAAUGGCGCUCAAAACUGUAAGGCUAGGAGGAAGAUAGAGGUGAGCGGAACUUAAGGUGGAGCGGUGAAAUGCGUUGAUAUCUUAAGGAACACCCGUGGCGAAAGCGGCUCACUGGAUCUUUCUGACGCUGAUGCACGAAAGCUAGGGAGCAAACGGG
rnacentral:rRNA from 1 species